rnacentral:rRNA from 1 species
GACGAACGCUGGCGGCGUGCUUAACACAUGCAAGUCGAGCGGUAAGGCCCUUUCGGGGGUACACGAGCGGCGAACGGGUGAGUAACACGUGGGUGACCUGCCCUCAGCUCUGGGAUAAGCCUGGGAAACCGGGUCUAAUACCGGAUAUGACCUCAUGACGCAUGUUGUGGGGUGGAAAGCCUUGUGCGGCUGAGGAUGGGCCCGCGGCCUAUCAGCUUGUUGGUGGGGUGAUGGCCUACCAAGGCGACGACGGGUAGCCGGCCUGAGAGGGCGACCGGCCACACUGGGACUGAGACACGGCCCAGACUCCUACGGGAGGCAGCAGGUGGGGAAUCUUGCGCAAUGGGCGAAAGCCUGACGCAGCGACGCCGCGUGA